rnacentral:rRNA from 1 species
AUACGAAGGACCCAAGCGUUGCGCGAAAUUACUGGGCUUAAAGCGUACGUAGGCGGACACGCAGGCACUUUGUGAAAGCCCUCGGCUCAACCGAGGAAUUGCUUGGUGAACCGCGUGUCUUGAGGCAAGUAGGGGCUGUCGGAACGAUAGGUGGAGCGGUGAAAUGCGUUGAUAUCUAUCGGAACGCCGAAGGAGAAAUCAGGCAGCUGGGCUUGUUCUGACGCUGAGGUACGAAAGCGUGGGGAGCGAACGGGAUUAGAAACCCGGGUAGUCC